rnacentral:misc_RNA from 1 species
AACUUUUGGCAAUGGAUCACUUGGUUCCGGCAUCGAUGAAGAACGCAGCGAAUUGCGAAACGUAGUGUGAAUUGCAGAAUUCAGCGAACCAUCGAAUCUUUGAACGCACAUUGCGCCCGCCGGUAUCCCGGCGGGCAUGCCUGUCCGAGCGUCGUUUAACCGCCCAGGCUACGUCUGGUGUUAGGGAUCCGUGGAUUUUCCGCGGACUCUGGAAGCAAGCGGCGGCUCGCAUGCAGACAGAGCGAAGUACUAUAGCGAGCUAAGCUGCCUAUAUCAUCUUCUCUCCAAGCCCUCUGGGCUGGGAAUUUUGGGGAUCGCUCAGGGUCUUGUAGGCGAGUGUUCUGCCGGUUAAGCUAGACAAUGUUCUAAAGAAUCAGCUCGACCUCGGAUCAGGUAGGAAUACACGCUGAACUUAAGCAUAUCAAUAAGCGGAGGCU